rnacentral:tRNA from 1 species
UCUAAUAUGGCAGACUAUAUGUAAUGGAUUUAAAACCCAUUUAUAAAGGUUUAUCCUUUUUUUAGAA